AUUGAACGCUGGCGGCAUGCUUUACACAUGCAAGUCGAACGGUAACAGGGAGCUUGCUCCGCUGACGAGUGGCGAACGGGUGAGUAAUGCAUCGGAACGUGCCUAUUUGUGGGGGAUAACGUAGCGAAAGUUACGCUAAUACCGCAUACGCCCUGAGGGGGAAAGCGGGGGAUUCGUAAGAACCUCGCGCAAUUAGAGCGGCCGAUGUCGGAUUAGCUAGUUGGUGGGGUAAAGGCUCACCAAGGCGACGAUCCGUAGCGGGUCUGAGAGGAUGAUCCGCCACACUGGGACUGAGACACGGCCCAGACUCCUACGGGAGGCAGCAGUGGGGAAUUUUGGACAAUGGGCGAAAGCCUGAUCCAGCAAUGCCGCGUGAGUGAUGAAGGCCUUAGGGUUGUAAAGCUCUUUUACCAGGGAUGAUAAUGACAGUACCUGGAGAAUAAGCUCCGGCUAACUCCGUGCCAGCGCCGCGGUAAAGUACAGUGU
rnacentral:rRNA from 1 species